CGCUCAUGACACGUUAGCCCACGUCAGUCUAGCCAAACACAUGUGUGGUACCUAACACGCCUUGUCUUCACUUGACGCGAUUCGUGGGGAGUGACAGUCCAUAGAAAAGAAGACAAAACAAAAGAAAAGGAAAGGAGUCUUAAGCUGAGGCUGUGGAAACACGAAAAGUAGGAAAACAAACGGUGGAAUACACGUCAAGUGCAUUUUCUCAUACAUCCCUUUGAGGGACACGUGCAGGAGGAAGGACAA